AUUGAACGCUGGCGGCAGGCUUAACACAUGCAAGUCGAGCGGGGUGAUGGUGCUUGCACUAUCACUUAGCGGCGGACGGGUGAGUAAUGCUUAGGAAUCUGCCUAUUAGUGGGGACAGCAUCUCGAAAGGGAUGCUAAUACCGCAUACGUCCUACGGGAGAAAGCAGGGGAUCACUUGUGACCUUGCGCUAAUAGAUGAGCCUAAGUCGGAUUAGCUAGUUGGUGGGGUAAAGGCCUACCAAGGCGACGAUCUGUAGCGGGUCUGAGAGGAUGAUCCGCCACACUGGGACUGAGACACGGCCCAGACUCCUACGGGAGGCAGCAGUGGGGAAUAUUGGACAAUGGGGGGAACCCUGAUCCAGCCAUGCCGCGUGUGUGAAGAAGGCCUUAUGGUUGUAAAGCACUUUAAGCGAGGAGGAGGCUCUUUUGGCUAAUACCCAAGAUGAGUGGACGUUACUCGCAGAAUAAGCACCGGCUAACUCUGUGCCAGCCGCCGCCGUAA
rnacentral:rRNA from 1 species